GACGAACGCUGGCGGCGUGCUUAACACAUGCAAGUCGAACGGAAAGGCCCUGCAUUUGUGGGGUGCUCGAGUGGCGAACGGGUGAGUAACACGCGAGUAACCUGCCCUUGAUUUUGGGAUAACUUCAGGAAACUGGGGCUAAUACCUGAUAGGAGUUCCUGCUGCAUGGGGGGGGGUGGAAAGUUUCGGCGGUUGGGGUUGGAUGCGCGGCUUAUCAGCUUGUUGGUGGGGUAGGGGCUUACCAAGGCUUUGACGGGUAGCAGGCCUGAGAGGGUGACCGGCCACAUUAGGACUGGGAUACGGCCCGGACUACUACGGGAGGCAGCAGUGGGGAAGAUUGCACGAUGGGCGGAAGCCUGAUGCAGCAACGCCGCGUGCGGGAUGACGGCCUUCGGGUUGUAGACCGCUUUCACCUGUGACGAAGCGUGAGUGCAGGUAAUGGAUAAAGAAGCACCGGCUAACUACGUG
rnacentral:rRNA from 1 species